UUUUCUCUUGUCAACUAAACAAUGGAGAAAUAAGUUUUUGAGCACAAUCAAAUCUAACUUGAUUAAGAUUUAGUCAGUUGUAGGCCAAUCUAAGAAUUAAGUCCAAAUUAAAGUGAUUAACCAAUUAACAUAAGAAUACAGAAAUCAAAACUAAGCAUGGAUAAGCAAAUAAAAUGAAUAGCCCACAGAAAUCAAAACUACAAUAACACAGCCAUAACACAUGGAUGUGCUAUUGAAGAGGAAAACUCAAGAAUUGGACGGAAAAACCCCUUUGUGGUCUUACUGCCGAAACCAAUCUACUAGAAUAGAUAGUUGCAGUGCAUAAUAUCUAUGUACUCAAGCCCUCUAAGCUUUUGCUUUCAGUUGACUUCGCAAUUCCUUUCUCUACUCUACCAUCUGGAUUUGUGACUGAGCUCUAAUUGCAACUUCAAGCCACCAUGGCUAAUUUUGGGUUGCUCCAAUGAUUCCUAAGGCACUAAUCAACACUCAUAAAUCUUGAGAUAAUGAAGAAUAUGAUGGUAUCAAUCUCCACAGAAUUCACCAAUUUGCAGUUGCUUCCUGGGAUUCGAGCCAAAGAAUAUCAAAGAAUGGAAUUGUGGCAAUUGGACUAGUAGAAGUGUUAGGAGGACUCCGUUGCAGUGUGAGAGGGUGAACACUGGUGGUGAAGGAGACAAAAAAGAUGGGUUUUUGAAACUGAAGAUGAUGAAAGUGACAGACUUUGCAGAUUGGUCAAUUGCUUUCCAAAACAAAUGCAGAGAGCAGUGCUUGGAGAAUUGUUCUUGUAUAGCAUAUGUAUAUGAAACUGGCAUUGGUUGUAUGUCUUGGAUUGAUAAACAAAUUGAUACAAAGCAAUUGUCCAGUUCUGGAGUUGAACUUUACAUUCAUUUGGCCUACUCAGAACUUGAUAAAGUGGGAGAUGUGAAAAAAAAAACUGUCACAAUCACUGAUUUACAGGAACAAUUUUCCUUUCCAUCUGGACUUAUUUACUGUGGAGGUGGAUGGCAAAGCAAAAAGAGAAGAAGCA